AUGAGAUUUGUGUUGCCAGUCUUGGUUUUUCUCGCAGUGUCAGCAUUUCACACAGCGCUUUCAGCUUGUCUGGAAUCUGCAGAGAAAAAGGAUAAUGUCGCACAACAUGAUGGACUGGCUGAACUAAAGAAGAUAGAUCAGGAGGAGUUUGAAGCUGCUCAGAGAGAAAAAGCGGCUCAGAUGAACAUUACAGUAGAAGAGGAUGAAUCACCUCGCAACCUUGUAGCAGAGGCCUA
rnacentral:lncRNA from 1 species